rnacentral:rRNA from 1 species
CCUACGGGAGACAGCAGUGAGGAAUAUUGGUCAAUGGGCGGGAGCCUGAACCAGUCAAGCCGCGUGAGGGAAGAAGGUACAGCGUAUCGUAAACCUCUUUUGUCAGGGAACAAAGGCGGGGACUAGUCCCCGGCCGAGGGUACCUGAAGCAAAAGCAUCGGCUAACUCCGUGCCAGCAGCCGCGGUAAUACGGAGGAUGCGAGCGUUAUCCGGAUUUUUUGGGUUUAAGGGGUGCGCAGGCGGCCUGUUAAGUCAGCGGUAAAAGCCCGGGGCUCAACCCCGGCGAGCCGUUGAAACUGGCGGGCUGGAGUUGGAGAGAAGUACGCGGAAUGCGCGGUGUAGCGGUGAAAUGCUUAGAUAUCGCGCAGAACCCCGAUUGCGAAGGCAGCGUACCGGCUCCACACUGACGCUGAGGCACGAAAGCGUGGGUAUCGAACAGGAUUAGAUACCCUUGUAGUC